rnacentral:tRNA from 1 species
GCUCCCAUAGUCUAAUUGGAUAAGGCAACUGCCUUCUAAGCAGUCGUGUGUAUACACUUGUGAGUUCAAGUCUCACUGGGAGUGCCA